rnacentral:lncRNA from 1 species
CUUUUCUGCUUCUUUCACUUCACAUGGCUUUUGUUCUUACUCAGAACAAGAAAUGUCACCGAUUUCUGUACACCUUGUGUAUGAAGAGGACAGAUGCUGUAUUCAUCAGUGCCCUGUUUCCACUUCUGCCUCCCUUUCAGGUCACCUUUUAAGAGGCAGUGAGCUGUGUUGCACUGUCUGAAGGAUAUUGAAAACUUGCUGCUGAACAGGAUUCAGAGUGGCUUAGGAGCAGAAAAUAUCUUCUCUUACUCGACACCUGUUGAGAAGUGACCUGGCUGUAACUCCUUUCUUGCUGCUACUCCUAAUGUACCAAAAGGGAGAGGAAGCCUUUGCUGCAAACCCUUCAGCAGAGAGGGGAUCCACGGAGGAUUCUGUUACGUGGUGCUGCCUAGGGCCCAGUUUGAUUUCACCUCGUCUUUCCAGCAGUCCUAGAUCUUUUCAAAAAAUGUGGGUGGAGGUCCAUUACACAUGCUUACUAUGGUUACUCGCCAUGAAAAACAGUACAAACAGCCAACACAGACUCCAGGUGGUGGAUCAGCAUUAAGCAUAAUAGACCCAGGGGCAGAGGAUUGGCAAGAUAUGACAAGAAAUGGUUGUACGUCCAUCCCCUUCAACUCCAUGACCUUCUGCGAGAGACAGGGAUAUGGAGGCACAAUCCACCAGGCUCCACCAUCUACUGUUUCAGAUGGUCUGUGGCCACUGAGCCUCUUCCAUGAAGACAAGAAGACUUGA